rnacentral:lncRNA from 1 species
GAGCUUGGGCCGGCGCCCCUGGCAGGGGCGUGCGCCAGGGACGCGAGGCACCCCAGCCUCGGCCGUCCCCCCGGCCGUCCCCCCGCCAGGGCCUUCCCUGCCGGGUUAUAACGACCCUGUGAGCUCGCGCCGCUGCUCUUUCAGAAAAGGAAGUGCCGUAGCCCGAGGUGGCAGGAGCCACCACCUGGCUUCCAACCCGGCGUGACCCGGGCCGGGCCCUCGGCAGUCCAGACCGUCGACCCCUCCCCGGGACGGGCUCGGCAGGGCUCCAGGCCCUCGAAGAACGAGGCAACCUGGCGAGAAAAUCAGGCAAAGGCUCAGGCUUGGAGAAGAACGACAGGACACGACGAAAUAGCUUAUAAGGCGGAUUAGGCGAAGCAAACUCCCCUGGCCAUGAGUCACCAUGAAUUCCAGUGGGGUGGAGCUUUAUUCCUCUGCCCAAAGGGACUUCGGAGUGCCAGCUAUCCCACAGAUCAGGCAAGUGCUCCGUUUCUCUUAACCAUCUCUUAACACUUGCUCAAGAAAGGGUAAUGAAAAUGUUUGACAUGGUAGGUUUUCUGUUUUGUUUUGUUUUGUUUUUAAGGAAAUGAAAACAUGUACUUACAUUAUGGAUAAGCUAUUUUUUAGUAUAUUCUGCCUUGUUUGGGGGCAUACACCUAUUUCAAAGCAGUUUCAAUAAAUCAGAUGUCAAGAAACGACUGAAACUUUCUUUGUGAACUGCUUUCACUUUGAAUUAUAUGUGCUACAACACUUUGCUCUACCAUGGAGUAUGCAGCUUGGUCUGCCACAUUGCAACUAUCACAGGGAAAUUCUUAUUUUAAAUGUCUAC